CACUAGUGGAUACCACAAAAUCUUUGUUAUACUUAAUGAAAGUAUAAACAAACUCUAAGUGUUAGUGAAUCUAUCGUUUAUCCACUAGUGUAAAUAUUUUAAAUUGAAGAUCGAAUUCAUUCAUUGUAUUCAUAUAGGGUCAAGGAGUGUAGCUGUAAAAAAUCAUCAAAAUCGGAGUUAAAAUAACCGUUAAAUUGUGAUUUUUCAUUGAUAACCGUCGAAAUUUUUUAUCCCGUUACUUGAUCUCUGAAUGUUUGUUUUUUGUAAUUUUUGGCGUAUGCGAUCUCGAAGUUUAUACAAAC
rnacentral:lncRNA from 1 species